CAGCAGCCGCGGGAACACGUAGGGUGCGAGCGUCAAUCGGAAUUACUGGGCGUAAAGCGUGCGCAGGCGGUUUUGUAAGACAGGCGUGAAAUCCCCGGGCUCAACCUGGGAAUGGCGCUUGUGACUGCAAAGCUAGAGUGCGGCAGAGGGGGAUGGAAUUCCGCGUGUAGCAGUGAAAUGCGUAGAUAUGCGGAGGAACACCGAUGGCGAAGGCAAUCCCCUGGGCCUGCACUGACGCUCAUGCACGAAAGCGUGGGGAGCAAACAGGAUUAGAUACCCGGGUAGUCCCUGUCUCUUAUAC
rnacentral:rRNA from 1 species